GAUGAACGCUAGCGGCAGGCCUAAUACAUGCAAGUCGGACGGGAUUCAGGAGCUUGCUUCUGAUGAGAGUGGCGCACGGGUGCGUAACACGUAUGUAACCUACCUUUAUCAGGGGGAUAGCCUCUCGAAAGAGAGAUUAAGCCCGCAUAAAAUCACAGCACAGCAUUGUGUAAUGAUCAAAUAUUUAUAGGAUAAAGAUGGGCAUGCGGAACAUUAGCUAGAUGGCGGGGUAACGGCCCACCAUGGCGACGAUGUUUAGGGGAUCUGAGAGGAUGGCCCCCCAAAAUGGUACUGAGAACCGGACCAGACUCCUACGGGAGGCAGCAGUAAGGAAUAUUGGUCAAUGGGCGGAAGCCUGAACCAGCCAUGCCGCGUGCAGGAAGACGGCCCUACGGGUUGUAAACUGCUUUUAGACGGGAAUAAACCCAGAUACGUGUAUCUGGCUGAAUGUACUGUAAGAAUAAGGAUCGGCUAACUCCGUG
rnacentral:rRNA from 1 species